GAGAGGAUACGCUCAGUCCACUAAGGUAAGAGAAAAAUGUGCAAGUGUGCAGACUAGUGCAGUGUGUAGGGGAGAGUGGGGUAAGUUGAGCCACCCCCUGUUUCUUGGAAAUGGUAAAAGGAAUUGAUCAUGUGACCAAAUAUUUAUGAGAUGGGCAUCAAUUCAUGGGGUCUGUGAAGGUUAGAAGCACAUGGGUGAAGGGGUUAGACAUUUAUUUACAAAAAAAAAAAAAACAUUUUUCACUCUUGAAAGUGAAUUUAGUCUGUCAUAAAUUUCAUUAGAAUUGUGUUCAGACUAAAAAAGAUCAUUUUAAAUUUGUUUUAUACAUCAAUUUUGGUAUCUAUGAGCUACAACAUGAGGUCAAAAACCUAGCAUUAAAGUCCACCAUUUUAGCUUAGAGGACUAAUAAAGUUAGAGUAGUGAUUCUGGAGUAACUGAGAAAGUAAAGGAGUCUGAUGAGAGGAUCAGAGUUUCAGUUCAGAUUGUUGAAAUGUGUUACUUUUUUAAAAAAAAAAUACAGCUGUGAAUGUUCUGAAUCACUUUAAGGCAUUCUCAUGUUAAAAUAAGAAGAAGUGAAACAAGUAAGAGUCCUUGUAAGAUGUUCACUCAACUGAGCAGAUGCAUAAAAGUGCUCGUGGUUCACCUGCUGCAGCACAUAAUUAGAAUAUCUGUUUUUGCUCCUUAAAUAGAAUAUGUCUGUUUUGGAUUUAGUUGGAGGAAACUCCACCAGCCGCAACUGUCCAUGGCUGUGUCUGUCUGUCACUCACGCCACGCUGUUGUUCACACUUUUUACAACAGGGGGCAGCAUUGCCAUAUUUAAGGUAGUACACUCUUCCCCCAUUUAAAAUGUUUCAUUUGUUUUAACACUUUAAUCUGAAUUCUGCAGCAUUAAUAAUACACAUUUUUUACAUGGAGGAGAUAGGACUGUGUUUAAUGUGAAAAUGGGGACAAUUCUUCGGACAGACUUGUCUCCUGGUUCCAGACCACACAGGUGUAGCAGUGCAGCAUGUAUUUUAAGUCAUGAUCAUAAAGGGAUUACACUGCAUCUGUGUUCUCUUUCUAAAUUAAGAGACUAGAAAAAUAGUUUUCAAAUGCAAAAUAAUGAAACUCUCAGUGCUUAUAAACUGCAUCUCAAGCUUUACUUCAUUCAGGAUAAAGAAAAGUGAAAAAAUGACACAAAUGCUGGGAUAGUGUUAUAGUGAAAAAACAUGAAAUUAGGUGAUGACUGAUCUGUUUCAUGCUCAGUUGUGAUCUCAAAAUUGCGUUCGUUUCAUUCAGUCCAAAUGCAGCUUCUGUCUUGAAGUGAGGGUUAAACAUUUGAAGGUCUCAGUGUUUUCCUCAGAUGGCGCUAAUCUUGUCAGGUGAGUGUGUUUUUUUGUUUUGGUCUCUGGUGUUGGGAGGAGUAUACCAAAGCAAGGCAGCGGUAAUAAAAUUGAAACCUGAGACCUUACCUCUGUUUGUAGCUAAAUUUGACAUUUUUCUCCAACGUCCUCUCUUUGGGGGCGAGAUUUAUAUUACUAGUGUGUAACCUCCCCUGUUUCCUCUGUGUCUGCAAGACCACAAGGUAUUCACUCUCUCUCGUGCACACACAUACACACACAUGGAGCCACUGACAAUGUGACAUUGACAUAGUGCAGUUGAAUACCUUAUGUGAGGGUGACUGAUGGACCACUCGCCCUGAUGGCUGUUCCCUAAAGGUAUGUGUGUGUAUAUGUAUGUGUGUGUGUUUGUGUGUGUGCUGUAUUUGAACAGCAGAGGAAAUAGAAUUAUAUUCCAGCUCACAUGAAACCUCGACAGCACAGAGAGACGGGUCAAACACCCGGGGACUGAGAGAAUAAUAAGCAGGUACAAUGACACACACACAUACACACACACAUUUAUACGGCCCUUUGGGAAACACUAUUCACUGCUCCAUCACUUACACUCAUGAAAUAUACUCACACAUGACUUGGUGAGACAGAGCAGAGCAGGAACUCAGACACACAGAUUGAAAGUGAUUAUAAUUCACGGUGAAGUCUGGCUGCUUCAGCUCAUCCAUCUAUUUGUGGGCACGCAUGUGCGGUCGAACACUCAUCAAUGUUACGGGUGGGAAAAUACAGCCUGAACGUUCAUUUUCACAAGCAGGUAAAGCAAGUUCUCAGUUCAAAUAAUCAUGCUCUUAUCAUGGGAUGUAAACAGAAUAAAAGACAUGGAUUAAAGGGAUAUUCCGACGUAAAAUUAAGUUAGAGUCAAACACACUGUUACACCGAGUUACACAUCCUGUUGAGAGAUAAAUGUUGCCAACUGCUUGCUUCUCUAGUUAUACCAACUUUAGUAAUGACCGCAGAUAGCAAUACAGAGAGCCACGCUUUCAACCAAAACACCACUCUAUAGCCACAAAUAAUGCUCAGAACAGCACCUAACUUCAUCAACAGUACAUAUAGGGUCCCAGCCACAGUACUAGCAACCAAACAUCUUUUUAACUUUGCCUGAUUUCUUUAGCAAAGAGACUAAACACAACUCACCCUCUCUCUUCCAGCAGCCGCUUGUUUGUACGGAGACAUCCAGGAGAGUUCAUCAACUGCUGCGGGGUGACGCAGCUUAUGGAAGAACAUUUAUGAUCAUUACUUCAUGGAAAUGCAAUCAGACCAAUACGUUAAAGGCAGAACUACCGCAUCUGCAGAGCAAAAUGAUUAAUAUGGUGAUUAUUACUUCAAGGAAAUGAUAAAAGAAAUGGUCAUAAAUGUUCUUCCUUGAGCUGCGUCACCCCGCUGCAGUCGAUGCACUCGUCCAGAGGUCUCCCUACAAACUAGCGGCUGUUGGAAGAGAGAGGGUGAGUUGUGUUUAGUCUCUUUGCUAAAGAAAUUAGGCAAAGUUAUGUUUGGUGGCUAGUACUAUGGCUAGGACCCUAUAUGUACUGUUGAUGAAGUCAGGUGCUGUUCUGAGCAUUAUUUGUGGCUAUAGAGUGGCGUUUCUGUGUCCAUUCAACGCUCAGGUCCCAGCACCCUUGAAACACAGAGGGGAAUAUUCUGGGAAGUUCACAACAACUGACCAGACACGAAACAGACAUCAAAGACAAAUAUUUAUGUUGAGAUAUACUAUAUGAUAAAGAUAGAUGAAAAAGACAUAAAAUAAAAUUGUGAUUAAUGAACAUUACAUGUAAUGUUUCGUCAAGGGAAACUCAUUUGAAACAUUGAUUGCAGCCAGUAACUGUAAUGUGUUUAUUCAGGCUCAGAUUUGUAUUUUCACGGCGCAACGAUAUGUGUUAUCCCUCACAAACUCUCCAUGAAUCCCCUAAGUGACAGCCAAGGUUCAGUUUCCAGAUGUUUGUGGUGAAAUGAGGAGAAAUCGUGUUUUUAUUUCGUGUAGCGGCGAGAAUGUUGUGAAAACUUGCCCAGAUUUCGCUCAUAUCGUCUGGGAAAACCCUUUUGUGUUUGCUGGAAAUCGAGUGUUGACAAGUUCAUUUCUACCGCAUGUUUCAUUCCUGCUCCUUUCUUAUUCGUAAAGCGAAGACUCUGCAGCUUUUCAGCUCAGCGUGCGUUUGAUGAAUUGAAAUGUGAGUGAGAGGGCUCCUCUGCGUUGAACCCGUGACACAUCUUCACCACAUAUUCUUAUUGCUAAUCAAUGUAGAUGACACCAUCUUUUACACACUGGCCCUGGCGAUCAAUGGGAAUUAUGCCAUGCUUUUUAACUGUCACUGGUAAUCAAUGAGGGCAGCGCCAUCAUCUGCAUCCCUUGAUCAUUACAUCUGGUGAUCGAUAUCAGAGCAGAUCAUGGCUAUCCAUGAUGAUGGGGCGAUAUGGGUGCAUGUGCAUGCGAGGGGACGGCAGAGAGUGGCACCAAAAGUCACGUAGACAGGAAGGGGAUUUAUAGAAUUAAAAACAUAGAUGGUGGUGAACAUAUUCGGUUUAUUCAUCCAAAACUCCCGCACAGCCGUGUGGUUUCUCUCUGUAUCUGAGCUUCAGCAGUCACCACAUCAUCUAAGUAAUCUAGUUUUUAUUUCACGCUCCUGCUUUAGGCGCCUUCAGAUCCCGUAUGUGAAUACAUUCAUGCAUCAAUUUGCAUUUAUGUUUGUAUUUACCCCGCAAUGUUUUUACCGUUGAUUAGAGACCCAGAGGUACUUUCACUGGCGUUGGAUCGUGAAAUAACCGUGUUUUGUUUUGCAACCGCUAAUGAUAUUAUUGUAGGAUCAGAGUGAAUCACUGUGUCUGCUGAGAGGAAAAGGAUAUAGUGAUGUGCAGACCUAAAGUAGGAGUGGUGCUCCUGUGAAAACAUUAAAAAAAGUGUUGUUUUUCUUAUCCCAGUUCUCACCAGUGACCAUGUGAGCACAUGAGUGAUUUAUUUUAUUUAUUUAACCAGGGUGAACUUUCCAACUCGAGUCGGCUUCCUCUCAAGUGUUUCACAAAGUGCUGAAAACCUCUCUAAGACUAUUUGCACUCCUUUGUAUCUUAAUCACUUUGUAAAUAUAUAAAUUAGUUUAAAUCACAGAAAAUUAGACAUUUUUUCUAUUCAUUCAUCUCCUCACUUAGAUAGAAAACAACCUCUGAAAGUUGUUAUUCUUAACUUUAUGACUGACAGCUCUUUCUCAUCCAUGAACAAUUGCAUCUCAAUGACCCUUGACUAUUCCCCAGACUUCCUGCUUGGCUCACACACACACUUACUGACCACAACCUUUACUACAUGAUAACUAUGAAAAUAUUUCACAUCCGCUCUCCUCGUUCACGCACCGAGAGAUAAAACAACAGAGACAGUGCGAACCGAGAAACAGAGGAAGCGGGCUGAUUGAGGGUGAAUGAGGACCACCGCAGAGGAAUUUGACAGAGGUAGAGGGACUGAGAGAGAGCACACGGCAAUCACAGACCAUCACUGAGAGGUGACUGGGCCAUCCGUGUCUGUCUGUCUGUAAAAUGAUACACCGUCAAAACAGGAGGUAGCAGCAAUACCAUUACUGACGUCUCUACUUUGAUGCAGUGAUUUUACUUCAUUAAGUGAUUGGACCAGGACCAAAGAAGAACUCAAAACACAGCAGAGAGGAAGUGAAAAAAAAUAGAUAACACAAUAAAAUCAAUAACAGAAGAUAGAUAAAACAGGAGAAAAUCAAAAAACUUAAGGAAAUAAAGGAACAUUAAGAGUCAUAGCAUUUAAAACAUGACUGAAAGUAGUGUCGGUGGCGUCACCCAUCUGUUUCUGAUGUGGCGUUUUGAAGUCUUUUGGCGGUGGUCACCAUGUUGAUAAUGCUGACUCAACCUCACUUUUGGUUAACCUAUCAGAGGCAGGCCUUUAGCUAACUCGCACGCAACUACAGUGUGCCUGGCUAGGGCUGGGCGAUAAACUGAAAAUUUACUGAUACCGAAAUUUACAGCAAUAACCGAAGUCAUUUUGCCCAUAUCGGUAUAUUCGGUAUCAAAAAAACAAAUAAAUAAAAGUUGGUUUUGGAUGUGUGUAGGUAGGCUAUGUCUAGGGCUGGGGAUAUGGGAAAAAGUUUAUCACGAUAUAUUUUUUUCCUAUCAGUCGAUAUCGAUAUCACCAUAUAAAAAAUGAAAUUUAAUAGUGUUUAUUGGUAGCAUGUCUUUUGCAAAACAAUAAGCUACUUCAUCUGUGUGGUCUUUGUGUCUCUUCAACGUUUUGUUGUAAGGCGUUGCGUCAUAGAAAGUGGACUGAAUGGUCAGCUGUUUUCGGUGUUAAAGUGCUAUGGUUGCAUGUAGUUGCAACCCACUACUACGCAAAUGUUUGCUACUUGGUUCUAUUUCAGCACAUAAUUGGUUCAGCCUGAAGCGGACCUGCAGAAAUUCCCCUUUUCAUUGGCUAUUCGUAUAGUCUACCUAAACAUGGCAGAAUGCUGACUAUCGAAAAAGAUAUUGACCAUGUUUAAUACUGAUAUCGGAGGAAAUUAAUUUUCUAUAUAUAUCGUUAUCAUUUUAUCACCCAGCCCUAGCUAUGUCUCAUGUCCCUUUAAGUCGCUGUCCUAUGUCAAAGACGUGACUCUACCUCAUCCCGUUGGUAACAAAGAGGGAGAGACAGGUGAGGAGAUGGAGGACGGUUCAAAAGUUGUAGCAGCUGGAUCGGCGGCUGAAGUUGACGAAGUUAAUGUGGGGCGAGGUGAGCAGCUUGUGGAGUAGUUAUCGUCCAUUUAUCAUUAUCGAGGUGAACUGCUCAAUAUAUGGUGAUAUUGAUUUGAGGCCAUAUUGCCCAGCCUAUGCCUGCCCAUCAUUAAAAGAUACUGUGGGUGUGAUGGUAGCUAAGAAAACUGGGAACUAUUUAGCCGCAAACUCUUUUUCAAACGAGGCUUUGACUGUGUUCGUUUUCGCUCUAAAAACAACUCUUUUUCAGUUAAGUGUGCUCUGGUGCCUCUUUGGUAUUUUUACAUGUGUUUGUGUGUGCUUGAAUGAUUGGAAGAACAGUUUCUGAAAUUGGUCCAACACUGAGGGAGAGUGGAGCAGAUGGCAGCUGUGAAAGGAGCUAAAACAUAGUUCGAGGAUGCACAAUUAUCCGGUCACUGCAAGUGCUUUAUUAUACCACUGACAGGCUCAGAUCAUUAUCACAAAUCCCAAGAACAGAUUGGCAAGGGUUUUCCUUACCUUUCACUUGUGCUGGUCUGUGCCUAUCCCAGUAUCGCUUGUGUCCGCUGUUGUCUUCCUGCACCACGUCAGCUCUUGCAAUAGGUAUCAGCUCUGUGUUAUACAUAUAUAGCUUUACUCUCUAUAGAUAUGGCAACUUAAUGGGGCUGGAAAUGAGCAGAAACAGAGACGUUUUAAAGUGAAAUAAAAUAAAUUAGAUAAAAAUUCAAUUUCUUCAAAAUGUUUUGAUCUUUUUCAAUAAUGCAGAUAAACAAACACAUGAAACAAGUAGACCUGUGUUUAGUGUCAUUUCUUUGUGUGUACAACACAGUAACUCAUUCAUGAUGUAUUGUGUCUGUGGCAGUAUAGAUCUACAUGUUGAUUAAUGGCUCCACUGGACUGAAUAAUAAAUGUGUGUGUGUGUGUUAAGAUGUUUGCAGUAGUGUGUGUGUGUGUGAUGACCCGACAGUUGAUCAUGAAUAAUAAUAGUGAUCAAUAGCUGCACAGAUCCUGGACCACUGUGGGGUUUCUUUUCUUUUCUGUUGCUAUAACUUCAUCUGCCUCUGGGUGGCACUGUUUAACAACAGAGACCAUGAAAAGCCUCAGGAGGGUCAGCUUGUCUGGGUUGGUUUUCUGCAAAAAACUUGUUUAAAAUACUUUAAAAAACAGACAGUCGUUGAACAAAAAGGGGAGUAGCUGUAAGUUAGGUGACCUGGUGCUCGCCGGCAAACACUUUGAUGUUAUAAACACAACAUUUUGCAUCUUGUAUUUAUAUUCUUCAACCCAUGCUUAAGGUUAAAAUGCAUGUACGCGCCUCAUUGCAUAUAUUUCUGUCAUGCGGGAAACAUCAUAGAGUUUGCACAAUAAAGUGAACCGUCGAGAAAGGCCACGUCAGGCUGCAGAAACGUGCUUUUUUUUUUUUUUUCCAAAUUUGAAAUCGCUCUCGUCUGCAGAUGUUUCUUGAAUCAUGACAGCUGAAUAUCAAAGGUCUUUCCUAUUGUGACUCAUUCUCACUCACUCUUUGAGACCGUGUGGGUGUGUGUGUAGAUGUGUGUAGGCGGGUUCACACAAAUGAGCAUACGACUGUGAACUCAGGCUUGAUUUGUUUUCCAAGCAGUUUCCACAAAGGACGGCCGCCUCUCGUUUUUCAAGUGAAAUUCUGCCCUUUUUUUCCUGCUCAUCACUCUCACUUUAUUAUGAUGAUCCCUAAUAUAGCUAAUAAUAUCUCUAUAAAUCCAUAGGCAACCAAUCAAAGGAACACAACACCACCUCCACAGUAGAAGAUGGAUAAUGCUCUAGAGUAAUCAGGGAUGCAUGUACAAACACUGGAGUCCGCCUGCGAUGGGCCCCUGAGUGAAAGCACUUUAACCUUGAGGCAUGCAGCAUUCAAUAACACAACAAUAACAAUCAAAGGCUUUCCAUUUAAAGUUCAUUUAUUCUAAAUGAGAGAUAAUAUUAAAGCUGCAGCGGGGCUCUGAAUAAAUGAUAUUCAACCUUUAACUUCUGUUCGGCUCAUCAACAACAACCUCAGAUGAGAACAGAAGCGAGGGUGUCAGACCGCGGUGAAAAGUGGGACUGAGGAUAGGGAGCCAACAAAGACUGAAAAUGGAUAGAGAUGCAUUGGACAAGCCUGUGCACAGGGUCCAUAUUUUUGUGCAACACUCCUCUACAUAAGGGGGGGUACUUCAGCACCAGAAAAGGACCCUUUCUCAUAAACAUGUUUAAAGAGAUACUUCGGCGUAAAAUUAAAUUAGGGUCAAACACACAGUAACAUCGAGUUAGACACCCCGUCGAGAGAUGAAUGUUGCUGACCGCUUGCUUCUCUCGUUAUACCAACUUUAGUAACGACUGCAGGAUAGCAAUACACAGCAGUCUGAGGAGCCAUAAACAAACUUCAACCAAAAUGCCACUGCAUAGCCACAAAUAAUACUCCGAACAGCACCUAACUUCAUUGACAGUACAUAUAGGGUCCUAGCUACAACACUAGCCACCAAACAUCUUUUUAACUUUGCCUAAUUUCUUUAGCAAAGAGACUAAACACAACUCACCGUCAGAGGACAGAAUAAAUAAAGAGCGUCCUGUCCACAGGGGGGGCGCCAUAACUGACACAAAGUCGAAGUUCCUCAGAGGAGCUUUAAACUCAGAUUUCUGAAAUGAAUUGUGCUCAACUUUAACCACUUUCUGUGUUUUUUUUCCUCCAUGUUUCUACAUUAGAAACAGGGAAUUGAGUUGUUUUGUAACACCGGUGAACACACACUCCGACCAUGCAUUCCUUGCAGCACACACACACACAGACCACAAUGGAGCAUUAUGAUGUGGUUAAGAGUGUAUAUAGCCUCAUAUCACAGAGUAACACCAGGAUGGUACAUAAACACAUACAUGGAAGUCAAGGUAGUAUAAUUCAGUGCGUCUCCAUGCAUACAGACUGCCUGUUUAAACCAGUCAUUGCAUAGUAACAUAACCCAUUCAAACAUACAUAUCAAUAAUGUGAUGCUGGCUCAAAAAGGAAAGAAGAUGAAUUGUCCAUAAGCAGAGAAAGACAGAUUGUUGUGUUAGUGGAGAGUGCUUUUGAGUUUUGUGUUAUUGUGAUCUGAAGACUGAGGUGUAACACCUUUAUUUGUUUGUUUAUGGACGCCUUCGAACCAGAGAGGAGGAUGUGAGUGUAGAGAGGAUGAGUGGUGGGAGGGUGAAAGCUGCGAUCUAAGGAAGGAGAACUGAUAAAUGAUAGGGCUGAGUUGGCAGGGUGUGGCGCUGUGGACGGAUGAAUCAGUGUCAGAGUGGGAGGGAUCAAAUCGGCUGGGUGAUGUGAGGAAUAGUUCAACGUCGGAGGAAGAGAGAGAGUAAAAGACACACUUAAGAAUGAAACAGUGAUGGCUGCGUAGUGAUGGAUGAUGAAGGCGGUAGGAGGGAGGAAAGAAGGAAACAAGAUGAGAAGAAAAGGAGAAGAAAAAAGGAAAAAUAAUAGGAUUUAAUUUAUGACAUUAUUGUGCUUGUCUAGUGACUGAAAUUUCUACUUGAUUAAUAUUCAGCCUUUUUUGUACACAGCUGGUAGUGAUAUUUUCCUAUUGCAAGAGUAAGCGGGGAGGUGCUAUAGCGACAAAAAACUUAUUAAAAAUAGGGAUGGGAAUCAUGAUACUUGGGCCAUGAUACACUAAUAUUGCGAUUUUUAACAAAUUGCAAUACAGUGAGUAUUGCGAUACAAUAUAUUGCGAUUUAUACAAUUUUUUAUUGCCUUAUUAGCGCAGUAUUUUAUUUUCAUGUAGCACAUCUUGUAAACCUUAUAUCUAUAUUUGUUCUCCUCUGGACAAACAGUUGAUUUUAUUUUUCCAUUAUCAUAAAUUUGACUUCACAUUAGCAAUUAAUCUGAAAAAUCGAUACUUGGUCAAAAAGAGGAUACGAUAUAUCACCAGACACGUACUACGCUGUACCGUUUUUUUCUCCCACCCCUAAUUAAAAACGUGUAAAUUUCCCACUUGCUUAAAUCUGAAGCAUAGAAUACAACUCUGUUAGAAGUUGAAAUAAGAUAUGGGCUAUCGUAUAUUGUUAUUAUUUGGUUUAAUGAAAGAUAAGGGAUUGUGGAUAACUCUCAGGGUAAAUGAAAAGUGAGGGCUGAUGGAAAUUAGGGCCUGACUGAUUUCUCGGCGAGCCGAUUAAAUCGGCCAAUUUUAGCCCGUUUGAGACUAAUCGGUAAUCGGCCCAAACUUGCCGAUUUUCGCUGAUAUCUUCAGAAAUAAAAUGCGAAGAAUAAGAUUUGGUUUCACUUUGAAAAUGUUCCACCAUUUGAAAAGUUCUCAGACUUAUCCUGUAGAUGGUAGUUGAAGAUGCUUUUCUGGUCCGAGUUUGAUCAGUCGGUCUUCCUGUCGGUGUUAAGAGUGGUAGCCUACAUAGUGGUAGCCAGUAUAGUAUAUAGUAUAUAUGUAUUUUAUAACUUAACAUAAAAAAUUUUAAAAAUCGGCUGAUUAAUCGGUAAUCUGAUUUUUUUCCCCCUAAUAAUCGGCAUCGGCAUCGGCCCCAAAAAACCCAUAUCGGUCAGGCCCUAGUGGAAAUGUCUGUUGAAUAGCAUGUAUUUGGUCUUAACUGGAACUUAAGUGUAUCUGAUUUAAAGUUAAAAGCAACCUUGUAAAAGUUGUCUACCCCCUAAACACAGUUUUAAUCAGGUUCAACAAUUACAAAAAGACAAUAGAGUGAUAGAUGUUUGGCUAAAUGUAAACCAAGGUGGCCGACUGGGUGAAAAGAAGAGGUGAAAAGGAGGUUUUUGAGGCACAGACAGAUGGGGAGGAUGUCAUGCUGCUUAACUAAUGCUUUCUGGGCUUGUAGUUCAAUUUCUUUUCAGAAUUAAAGCUCCAUCAAUCACCUGAAUGUGCCUCGUUAGCAAUGGAGCCCUAACCAAUCCCAACAACAACCAUCAAUUCUAAAAAAGACAGACGAUGGGGCUUUUAUCUGUCUGUGUUGCUGUCUGUAUUGGUUUCUCUCCGGCUGUCUCUGUCCAUCUUUCACCCCUGCAGUCACACACACAAACACACACAAACACACACAAACAUAUUAAAUAAACACAAAUUCACGCCCUAACAAAUGUCUGUUUUUCUGUCACUCAGGAACAUUCUGCAGGCACUGACCCUCCUGCCCAUACACGUUGUUUUAUCUCUUUAUUUCUUCCUUGUGAACUCUGCCUGAUUGGAUAAUAUUAAACAUACUAGUUAUUAGUUAUGGCCUAUGUCCCUGUCAUGUGUGCUGUUUAUUAUCACGGCAUGCAUAAUAAGGUUAUUCAAAGCUGUAGUCUAAUUAAAAUAAUGCCAUCCACUUUCUUCUGCAUUUUGCAGUUAUUAGUAAAAUAUGUUUAAAUAUAUAAUUUAGUGUAGGGCUAGCAGCCAGCCAAUGAUGAUUGGGUUGUAUUUCACUAAAUUCAAUUUCAGUGAUGAACUGCAAACGUCUUAAUUGCUUUUGGUUUUGCUUUCUGGAAAACUCAGUCAUUUCCUGCAGUCCAUGCAGGAAAUUGGAGCCGCUCCCUUACUUCCCAUAUUUACAGCGUUAUUAUCAAAAUGCCACAUAUCCCAUAUGCCAGAGAAGAGUUACGAUCAGAGUGCAAUCUGUUGACAGCUGAAGAAAGUAGAGGUAUAAUGAAGGUUCAACAGCCAAAGCCACAAGAACCAAUAAUAUUUAUUGACGUCUGAGCUGAUAAUUUUUUUUUCUAAAUUAACUGAUAAAGGAGAAAAAUACAUAAAGUGAUUCUUUUGAGUAUACAGACUUACUGAUAUUCAUGUCAGAAGCAACACUGAACUAUCCAAAGACUGUUUUAGACUUGAUUUGCUGUCAGUGAGAAUUAGGCAAAUGUGUUUUUAUCACAGGGCCAAUACCGAUGUGAUGCCAGUUGCUUCAAAAUGCUAUUAAUCAGACUGAUUUAUUGAGUAUAAAGUGUAACAAUCAUCAUAUUUUGCAAAUAUAUGAAACAAUGAGACUCUGGAUUGAAAGGCUCCCUUGCUCACCCCCCUCAUCUGAGAAGGAUCAGUGUCUUUGAGGGCAAGAAACUACUGUGAUGUUUCCUCCAUUUGUUCAGUUUUUACCAUCAAAAACAUCAAUCAACAUCCGCUUUCAUAGUCUUCAUUUUCCAAACAGUGCCCAACCACUCACCCUCUAAGGUCCAAGGCAGUUUUCCCUUAUUUUUUUUACGCCUGGUGUACUUGAACAAAAAGAUGUCACCUGAGUGAUGCACCACCUUGUGAUUUGCGUCAUUUGUUCAGGAUAAUCCGAGGAAUCAGAUCAUGUGUUCUCUAAAGAUGUCGGAUUAAGAUUGAAAUAGUUAUAUCACCAUAAAGAGAAAAGAAAAAUAAUGGUGAAAAUCAAGUUUCAUCGACAAUUGUUGAUCAAAAAUGUCAAAAACUGACCAUCUCUUUUUAGAGACAUUUAACUGACAUGUUUUAGACUAGUAUUUGUGUUUGGCUCACUUUGAAGAACUCAAUUAAACCUUCAAGCUGCAACUUGAGAAGAUGGAGAGGGAUUUCAUUUAUGAAACAUUAUAUUUUAAUUAAACCGAUCCUUUACACACACCUUCACUCAUCACAAGCGUGUGUCAGAUUUUUAGACCACAGGACAUUGGUGUUGUUUAUACUGCUUCUCUCUCAUAUGAGAAAACCAUGCAUAGUGAGGAAAGUAUUGUGACAGAUAAUUUGAGUCAGACAUUCACAUUGCUUCAGUUUGUAAAUGCACAAAUUUGACCUCACACGGGCUAUAACACUGGCACAUAUGGAAGUACUUUCCUUUGUUUAUUUGCACACUCAGCUCUUCUGUCUUAGAGUUUAGCUGCAUGACAUGAACAGUUGUCUGUAGGGAUCAUCUCUUUUGCAUGCAUCAAUGUGUUUUUCAUGUUUAAGGCAUCUCGUUUGCUGUCAAACUAAUCAUACUGACUGUGCCAAGGUCAGAUUUUGUAAAACCUUGGUCACUGACAUUGUUGUUCAGACUGUGAAUGUGUAUAAAAAUCACAUUAUAGAGGACAGACCAUGCGUCAUACUUCCAUAAAUCUUUAUUGCUACAAAAUCUUUUGAGAGGGGACUCCCUGUAGCAACACAUGAGGAAUUUUCUCCCUUGCAAAGAGUGAAAUAUUCAUCACGUCUUCUCUGUUUCCUCUAUCAUGAUGAAAAACAUCCACACUGGUGCUGCCAUUGUCACUUUCUCAUCAGCUUGUUGUUGCGAUCAUUCUUCUCUGCACUUAAUGGCAAAUCACAUGAUGUUUCCUGUGGACUUGUGGAUGUUUCCAGAUCACCAAUUUGGUUUUCAUAACCAAAAAUAGUACACACCCUGGUUUAAAAAAAGUCUGCAUGUUUCCUGCUAUCUUGUAAAACACUCUCAGACAGGUUGUAAUAAUGAUCUCAACACACUUGUUGCAGAUGAAUGAGUGGUUUAAAAAUGUAAACCAAGUGUGAUGUAACUGGUUUUCCACUGAUUAAACCCAAUAUUUUUUCUCGUUGUGAAAAAUUUUCAACUUUAAUGUGACAACAUGACUGCUAAAGGUCCUCUUGUUUUCUUACGGUACAGGAUUUAACAGUAAAGGUGCAGCAACUGUGGGAAUUUAAUAUGAAGUAGUAAAAUGCCACCAGGGUUGAAGUGUUGCAAACUAAUUACACUGUGAUAAAUCUGUCUAGAAACAACAAGCAGCAUCUAAAUACAGCGUUUCCUCCCUGACUGAUUACACCGAACAGACUCCUCCAUCAUCAAUCAUACAACUUUACGGCUUCUUUGGGGGGGAAUGUGCGUGCUGGAGUUUUUUGUGCAUAUACAGGAGGGUCUGCAUUUCUCAUGGUUAGAGGGUGUCGGGUUUGUGUAUGUGUGUGUUAGAGGAGGAGUGGUCAGGCAAUUAACCAGCUGUGCUAACGAUCAUCUCACUGCAGAAUCACACAAUGUUUUACAGCAGCCUACAGCGCUUUACUGCCUUUGUUGUCACAGUGAUGUAGUAUUCGCCACCAUAAAGUGCUGAUGCUUGUUGAUUGUUUUGGCCUCUUCAGGCUUGUUCUUUUACAUACACACACACACAUACCAUGCAAAUUCAUUCUUCCUGUCUUUUCCACACACACACACACACACACACACACACACACACACACACACACACACACACACACACACACACACACACACACACACACACACACAUGCACACUCAGUAGUAUUCUUUUAUAGCCUGUGUAUUUUUAUGGCCAGUGUCGGCUGCUCUGUCCUGGGACCAAUCUCAAGCUGUAGAUCUCCCUUAUCAUAAAAUGACUGUGGUGUGGAGUGGGACUGUGGUAGCCACACUGGAAAGCCUCCAUUAUGCAUCUCUUGCAGAUAUCCACCAUUAAUACAGAUCACUGCGGCCCAUCCGUUCAGAAACAAAUAACAAAAAAGUCCGACAAGCUUCUGAUAGCAGUCUGCAGGCAGCAGGAGAAAAGACAGGUCAUCAUCAGAGUUUAUAUUGCGUGUGACACGAAGCCAAACCUUUUCAGAGCAAUUCACUUUAUGCAUUUUGACAAGCCUGUUAUUUCUGGAGAUGGUUCACAUGGUGGAGAAACGGCACACAAGGCUCCUCACAAGUAUCACACAGUUUUUACAAAACUUUUAAGCAAGUUGAUGUCAGACUGGACUUUCUGGACACUUAAAUAUACAUUUAAAGUGUCAGUUUUAAUAUUGAAAUCCGGAGAAUGAUCAAGUCAAGAGUGUAGGAGGUCGUCUGAGCAGCAGUUGCUGUAGUGCCGCCUCAGCUAAGCAUGCUCUCACUUCUGGUUUUAUUUGGACUUUUCCUACCUUCCUGUGGGUCCUGGUUGUGUGAUGAUGAUCUACAUCCCCUGUCUCUCACCCUCUGCUUAGUCUCAAGCUUCAUAUUGAAGUAACAGCUGCAUCCUCAUACAUAGACUACAUAGCCAUGCUCGUGAUUGUCUUUUUCGUAGUAAAAACUUGACCAAUUGGGGAUCAUACUGGUAAUGUAUCACAACUGCCAUCACUUCCAUGAAGGACAGAAGUGAGCAGAGGAGCGUUUUACUCAAGAAUUGGACUAUUCUGAUGAGACACUAGUGUUGAGAUGUCUGUCUGUCAUGAUAGCAUGUACUGAGUCGGGGUCAGUUCCAGAUAAGAACAUUAAACUAUAAUCCAUAAACGUAAGGUAACAGCCAAGACCUAAUGGUGCUGUGACAGCAAUGUGAUUGAGUUUGAGACAGUGAAAAUACAUAUGGUAUGUUGUAUCUGAACAGGUUAGCUUACGAGCUAAAGUUACUUAGCACAGAUGAAAGUUAAAACAAAGAUGUUUAGCAAACUGUUAAAGCACACAAACCAUCGUCAUAUGAGAAAUCCGACGCUAUGACUCUACACAAGUUGUCCUUCAGGUCAUUAUCUUUGUAAUAUUUGUGUUUUGACGCUGAUAUGAACGCUUGUACUGAGAGGAUACGGGUUCGAAAAAAAAUAUUGAAGUCCGAAAUAAUUGCACGAAAAAAACACUCAUGGUGUGUAAGGACCUUUAUUCUUUAAUUUGAAAAAAAAAAAAAAAAACUAUUAAAAAGAUUAUAAAGACACCAUGCAGGCUGCCAAAAGAAAGUCUGAUAUGACAGGUCCUGCUAUCUUGCUUUGUUGGUCUGCAGGUCUCUAUGCAGAAUUUGGGAUUAGGGGCAUAAUAACAUUCAAGAAAAGACGAGAAAGCAAGAGACAAGAUAUAAGAUAGCACCCUCUGCUGUUAAAAAAAGCCUAUUAUGAUUAUUCCUAACCUCACUCUCACUGAUUUGAAUCAUCCUUUAUACAGUAUUUAUCAUAGUCCAUAAACUGUUGGGUAACUUUUCCAGUCUAUUCUGGCACUGCCAACCUAAGUUUGUCUCAAAGUUCUCAGCCACACAGAAAAACACUCUUUUUGCUUGUAUUCGGCUCACACAAACCUGCUCCUUUACACCAAAUCCCACUCUCACAAGCAUGCUGCGGCCCAAACUGCAACAGAUGCUACCCCUAACAAACCAUUACGGCAGCAUAAGCACCACCAUAAACAAACUCCUCAUGGAAACAUCAAGAAAAGUUUGCUGACAACGAGCUCAUUAAUGUUUGUUUGUUGGCUUUGUUUGUUGACUGCUGGUUGAUGCUGUUUACUGUUUACACAGCCGGCGUGCUCCUCAUCUGUUUCUGCCGCACAUAUAAAAGUUGGACGACAAAUGAUUCCCCUUCUUCUCCCUCUCCUUUGGAGCGGCUGUGGACAUUUGUAACUUAUUGUGUGUUUGUGCAGCCAUUUGUGCGCUUGAAAAGUGUGCAAAAGAGUAAUGGCAUUUGGCCUGUGUGUACGCAGUUUAUGGAUUUAUGUGUAAGCGUGUCCAUGUUUUGUGUGUAUAUGUGUGUGUGUUUGUUGUGUGUGUGUGUGUGUGUAGUGCAUGGGGUCUUAAUUAAUCUCUGUCAUUAAUAAUUUAAUCAUGGCUUUUUGUUUAAUAAACAGUUUGGCAGUGAUGUAUUGCGGCUAGGUCGGGUAAUUUGAUUGGCGGUGGAAAUGAGCUGGUUAUGCACAUCACUCUCUCUCCCUCUCCCUCUCCCUCUCUCUCUCUCUCUCUCUCUCUCUCCCUCUCUCUCUCUCUGAAGCAGAGAUAUUACUGCUGGCAUUCAGGACCGGCGAGUGUGUGCACACAACAGGGGGAGGGCAAUUACGCUAAGAUGCCAUAAUGAUCAGUGAUGGAUGUACAGAGAGGAGGUUCUUUCAGAGCACAUUUCAGCUAAUGGAGUAACACUGUGGGGAUGGAAAAAUGGCAAAGUGAAAUUUCAGAUGACUUUAUAUUACAGGGAACAUUUCCAUUGAGUCUUUUUAAUUUAUAUUUAGGGACAAAACACUGUGCUGUGUGCUCUUUUUUUUCCACAUUGUACCCUAUAUCCUGCAUUUAUAUAAUAAAACAAGGUCCUAUAGGCCAAGACUUAAUCCGGUCAGUGCUUCUACUUUUCUACACUAGAUGGCACUCUUGAGUUGUCAGUUUUUAACAAUAAUGCUACUUCAUAAUUUACUCCCUGUACUUUUUUCUUAUCCCUCUCUCUUUUUCUUUUCCUCUUUGUUUAGGUGUUUGGUUCUUGCCACCAGCAUCUUAUGUGCUCAAUCAUGAAAACCAUGAAUACAACAUGAGCAGACCAGCCAUAAAACCUCAUAAUCCCUGCUCAGGUAAGAACAGGAGGCCAGUGAAAGAUCUCAGCGGUCCUCUCAGACUCUGCACAUGCACUAUGCUGUAAACCCAUAGAUGUCAAUCUAAAGUUUCUUGAGAGUAUUUCACUCUCUCACCUGUUGAUGGCACCACAAGGUUUAGGCCAUAUGCACACAAUGAACCUGCAAAUGCACAGAAGGACAGUUAUUAGACAGAUAUUAAAAAUAUGAACUAAAUUUCCACAUAUCUGGUGUAAUUGCUUCUAUUACUUAAAUCAAACUCCAUACAAAAAAACUGAUAUGAUCCCUUAAACUUGUGAACCUUACUUUCAUUUUGUAGGUGAACACUAUCUUUGGAUUGUAUAUCCAUGUCAGUAUUGCAUUUUAUUGUAUUGUGGUGUAUAUUUCCAGAUGUUGUAAGAUGCUAUAUAAAAACGUGAUUAUUAUUAUUAUUAUUAUUAGUAGUAGUAGUAGUAUUAGAAGUAGUAGUAGUAGUAGUAGUAGUAGUAGUAGUGGUGGUAGUCGUAGUAGUAGUGGUAGUAUUAGUAAUUUUAUUAGUACUAUUUUAUAGAAUAUAUUAUCACUGCUGUAUUGUUUCCAGCACCUUCUAAUAACUUUCUAUUUAUUACAUUAUAUCACAGCUUUACAUGAUCCUGUGGUGUAGUUAUUUGACAUCAUACCAUGUGGCUUUAACAUGUCACUUGAUCCCAUAGCCUUCACAUUUUUCAUAACAAAUGUUCAAUAAUUAUAACAAUAACAGUUGCACGUAGGGCUGGGCGAUAAUCUGAAAUUUUACCGAUACCGAAAUUUACAACAAUAACCGAUGUCAUUUUACCCAUGUGGAUAUAUUGGGUAUCAAAAAAAUAAAUAAAUAAAAGUUGGUUUUGGAUGUGUGUAGGUAGGGUAUGGUCUCAUGUCCCUUUAAGGCACUGUCCUAUAACAGAGAUGUGACUCCGCCCCAUCCAGUCAGUAACAAAGAGGGAAAGACAGGUGAGGAGAUGGAGGACGGUUCAUAAGUUGUAGCGGCUGAAGUAGACAAAGUUUAUGAGGGAGGGGGUGAGCAGCUUGUGGAGUAGUUAUCGUCCAUUUACUGUUAUCGAGGUGAACUGCUUAAUGUAUUGUGAUAUUGAUUUGAGGUCAUAUCGCCCAGCCCUAGCACUAACAAAGUAGCAAGAAGUAGUAGUGAUGUGUGGCAUUUUUCUUUUUUUUGUUCAAGUCCAAAAAAAGACAUUGCAGCUGAGUGCAAAACUUGUCAUGCACAAGUUUGUGCCAAUAUCAAAUCAAUAUCUUUAUCGUACCGGAAGUAAAAAAGUUACAUCGGGACACCCCUAAUUUUUGACAGAGGUAGAAACAUAGUAGUAUGAUAGUAAAAAGCUCUGAGUUGAACAUGGUUGAUACUGACAGUCAGCCCAGCCUCAUUAAAAGACAGUGAUCCAUUGUCAAUAAUUUACUUCCUCACUUUAUGUGUAUUUGAACAUAGGGCUGGGUGAUACAGAAAUUUACGACAAUAACCAACGUCAUUUUGCCCAUAUUGGUAUAGUUGCAUGCAUAUACCACUUAUUUCUAUCUUAUCUGAUUAUUUUGUUUUUCAAUAAAGUAUCUUAUUCCAGUCUAAAGAGAGAAGCUGCAGGACACCCACUUUCUCCAGAUCAAUCACCUUUCCUGGUGCACAUCAGGAAGUGAAACAAUUGCAUUUUUAAUACACGUAUCAUAAAGUGUCUCAGUGUCUCAGAGAGAAGUAUUUGAUUUUUUGCGCCCAGACAUCAGAGGCAACAGUGAGGUGAAUCUAACUGGCUUAACCGUCUCUUUCUCCUUCAAACCCGACCACUAAUCAGCUGAAUACAGUCUUCAUUCCUCCUGCACCCUCUUCCACCUCCACCCACUCUGCUGCCAAAUGCAAAGAAUUGUUCUGUUCUGCAAAAAUAAGGAAGGCGCUUGGUAGAAAAACACAAUGAGAGCAAAGCCAAAUAAAAGCAGGAGGAUUUAGGAUAUCAGUCUGGUGUCUGUCUCCAAGUCUCAGUGUGAGUGUAUAACAGGCUGUGCCAUCCUCUAUUACUGGUCUAUUACAGCCGACAGCUCAUGGUGAGAGAGUCAUACUGGGGCAUUGUUUGCUCCAUUUCACAUGCUAAUGUUGCAAUGUUCUAGCACGUCAAAGCUGCUGUGAAAAUAACUCUUUUUGGAAGUAUGUUGAGCUCGUCAGCCAGUGUUUUUACAAGCAGAGACAAUAUCAAGGCCUGUAUGUGAAGGAUGAGGAGUAAUUGGACUGGAGACGGUGUGUUUAAGACACAAGAAACGACACAGAGGGAUUGAGAUCCAUACAAACCUUCGUUUUUAGUCGAGUUUAUAAGCUCAUCCUGCUGAAGGCGGUAAAAUAAGGACACAACUGCAAUAAAUGUCCAAAAGUAAGUGGACAGUUGAACAAGGUUUGCAGAAUUUAAUAAACUGAAUUUCAGCUUUUUUCUUAGAAAUAAUUAAUAUUUCCUUGUCGAUGUGGUUUAUUGUGGCCAGUGUCGUAAAAUCUAAAGACAAUAUUUAAUAAGUGUCAGCAGUGAUUGGUAGAUACAUACAGGAGUUUUGUUUGUCUGCCAAUGAAAGCUCUUGAUUUUAAUCAAAUACCAAAUGUAUCCCCAACUCUGAAUUAUUUCUUGUUACCAAAAGUAAAUUAUGAAGUUAUAUCUUUCAUAAGUGUUCAAGGUAAAGCACCUCUUUGGAUCUAAAAGUUCAGCAGUGUAGCGAGAGUUUGGAUCAUGUGUCUCAUCUUUGUUAUAAAACGAGCUAAUGAUAAUCAACACUGUGAUUAUUAUUAACUCGUUUUAAUGAGUGGUGUUUGUUUGGGGAACAAAUUAACUAUUUUUCUCUGUAGGGAAAAAACAGGACUAUUAUACAUUCAUAUAAAAAUAAAUGUGAGAUUUUUCAGAGCAGUGAAGUGAUUCCUACCUCCCAGAGAAGGUUCGUUUACUGAUUUAUAUGUUUCUUUUUGUUAUUUGCAUUGAGCUUGUCACAUUUGAGUUUCAUGAAAUCAUCAAUAAUUAAAUCCCAGACAUUAAGCCUCGGGCAGUUUGGACUCUUCAGAGCCUCGGGCAGUGAGACUUUUAUCAGCUACAUGUUGCCCUGUUACAUCUGUCGCAGAAGUUUUGUAGCUAUGAUGUUAGAAUGAAACAAGUUCAAUCAGAACUGCUGAUGCUUUACUUCAGCGUCAUGUGAUUGAUUAUCAUUUUUGUGAACUAGUUGACCUAUACUACCUUGAAUCACAGACACAAUCGCUGACCAAAACUAGCUGUAUUCUAGAAAUAUUGGCCUCCUGUGCUACACAUGACCUCUGCUUUUGUCUCAUUCACUCUUUAAUGGGGUUUUUCAGUGUACACUGUGUAUAAUCUGGAUCGCCUCGGUGGAAGACGACACACUUCUAUGUAAAGGCUUGUUUUGUAUUGGCAUAAACAGAAUUAUUUCUAUGUUCUGGUGAUAAUGUAAUAAUUAUGGUUACUCUGAUUACUGGAGCAGUAUUUGCACAUUAAGAGAGGUCUGGAUAACUUGAUAGUGGAUAAGCAAAGUCUGUAGUUUUCUCUGAUUGAAAAAGUUGAGGCACUGGAGGACAUCCACUUUGUCUCUGGGGGAACCAUACGACCUGAAAGAAGAAGACAUCAACAUCUUAUAAACUUGCACAGAGACUUGCAUUAAUACCGAAAGGACACACUAUGCAAAGUUUAUAGCUGUAUAAAACUUAAGCAGUUUGUAUCAUGACCCUCAGCUUUACUCUACUUUCAAUAAUAAUCGAAAUCAAUAUGGGAAGAGUCAGUGGUUGACGAGCAGAAUGCCUAAUGCCACCUAUACCACACUCUGAAUUUGAAAAGUGUCUGUAAACAGGUCGUCCUGAGUGAUACAGUUUGUUUAGUUUCAAUCUAACUUUGAUGCACUGUAGCAGUCUUACAUUCACACAUAAAUUCUCUUAAUCUAUCUGUCAAUUUUCUGCAGCUGAUCCAGAACCAGGCGCUGUUGCAGCAGGUUUAACAUCCCUUUCUUCAGGCUCAUCCUCCAACUCCUUGUGGGGCAUCCACAGGCAUUUCCACAGCAAAUGGGACAUGAAAUCCCCUGAGUGUGUUCAGGGAUCUUCUCCCAUUGGACGUGUCCAGAAUACCUCAACAGGGAGGUAUGUUGGAGACAAGGUAUUCAGAUUCCCAGACCAUCUUAACAAGCCUUGAAUAAAGCCGGUGUAGACACUUUCUCUGCUGAUUGUUUGUUCUUAAUGUUGGUUUGUUUGAUGUGAGUAAAAUGAAUGAAGACAAAGGAAAUGCCACACUGUGACUGUGAUGGCCAGAGGUCAAAAUAACUGUGGAUGCAGCUCUAACUGUAACAGACUGUUAGCAAACAAGAUACUGAAAGGAGACUUGUCUAAUUCAUUGUCACCUUUCAUCCCGUCAGUCCCAGAUACCCAUAAGUUUGCUUUGCAUGAUCUGCAGCUCCAAAAACUCCUUAUUAAUCUCAAACGCUUCACCCUGACCGCUUUUCCAAGUCAGACACAGCUGGUGGGCGUUAAUCCGGACUCCGCUUUGUACUCAUGAAAUGACCUGAAAUGUAUGUCUGUAUAGAAAACGUCUAGAGCUGUCUGUAGGCUCCCCAUUAUAGCUAUUAGAAGAAAGCUGUGUGUAACAUUACCUGCUGUCAUAAUGCUGCUGACAGCGUUUGGUCCUGAAGGUCUUUAUAGGUGGAGCAGCUCCGGGUUUUAGUAACAACUGAGACGCCAAUCCACCUCAUAGGCAUAAAUAGCUAUAGGUAACAGCAACGACAAUAUUGUUAAAUUGGAAAAAUGCACAACAAGGUGAGAGCAACAUAUCUUCAUAAACAUUACUACUACACACAAUUACCUUUCAUGUCAUUCUUCAUUUUGAUUUGACUCUUCUUUAAAGCAGACAACAUCCCAUAAAUGAUCAUUGUGUUUUUAUUUUGAGAAUUUUUCUGCCUCGUUCAGGUUUCUUUAUUUCCUGCAUGAUCAUUUUGGGCUUUUAUUUUGAAAUAUACUACUUCCAGAAGAUCGUAACAGAAUCAUUGAAUGGUUAGGAUGUAUAACUGUUCAAAUGAAUGAGCUGUAACAUUGUGUUUUGGUCCACAAUACAUAUUGAAAAUCCAGUUUUUUAAAGUGCCUGAUCGUCUCUGAAAGGGCUGCUGCAGGUAGCUCACUAGCAGUCUGCUCCUUCCUCUUCAUCCAUCCUCUGUGAGAAACAUGUGGCCCACUAUAAGAACCACCAUGACAAACUUAUCAACAUUUUAAUUCUUCGAAAAGAUGGUGACUGUCAAUACCUCAAAACACUUGAUCUAGACUGAGUACUUUUUAGUAAAACCUUUGACUCUUCUGAUAUAAUUCACAGACCAAACAUGAGUGAGCCUUAUUUUAAACAGCCAGUGUGUUGGCUGUGUGAAUUGCAGCUCCAUCAAUUUGGAAACCAGCGUAUAAUACAUUAUUCCCAUUAUGUUGCCUUGCUGAUAUAUAUCAUAUUAAUCAGCCGACUAGAAGGAACGCAAUGAUUAUAAACUACUGAUGCAUUAGUGAGUGUUUUAUUAGAACUGAGCUCACACUUUCCUAAUGUUUUGACAAAAGCCUCACCACAAAGUGACCCCACUCCUGUAAAGAGUCAUUUUAGCUGAUAACUACAACACUUUAAACUCUGCUCCUCACACGCCAAAGCGAGAACAAAAGCAGACUAAGGAUGAUAGUUAUUUUUCUUGUACUUGUCACAGCUGAACAGAGUCAAUGACAUAUUCUUCUCCCUGAGCGUUUUGACCGGUUUGUUGAACACGUGAAUAAUUAGACACAUGGAUCAUGCUGGUGUAAGUUUGAUGGUGUCAAUGAUGCAGAACACAUAGACUGACUCAUGUGAGUUUUACCCCCCUGUAAGUAUGUUUCCUGAAUCCUUCAGGGGAUUAGAGACGCGUGUGAUUACUUUGAAAUGUGUCUCUUUUCAGUGUUGAGAAGCUGUUUAUGUGUGUGUCUGUCAGACAGGCUCAUUAGCUGGUGGGAUCACAGCAGUAGGUAGUGAAAGGGUCCAAUGUCCCUCUGGAGACAAUUCUGAAUGUUUGCUGUGAAGAAACUCCUCAUCAGGAGGAGACCCACACCCUUAGGGUACACAUCCUACAUGUGCACACACAUUAAACACGCACAAACAACCUCAGAGGAUAAAAACGCAUUUCAACUAAUCCAUGCAGAGAGCAUGCACAUACAAACACCUUGGUUUUCAAGCCUGUUUACGGCUUGAUGAAUGCAAAAGAAGUGUCAUUGGUAAAUUGGGAGAUGCACGUUUUAUAAAAUUUACUCAUAUGCUGCAAAAACUCUUAAGGAAAUUAAAGUCAAAAAAUGAUCAUUCACAACUUGCUUGUUGUGGUUUUACUUGUGUAACAAACAUUUUUGUUAAAGGCUUUAUUGCACAGUGUUUUUAUUCGACAAUACGGGCAGGCAACAUGUUUGGACUCUCUCUCUAAUAGGCUCACCCUGAAAUCCUUACCCAGGUAGCAAGAAGUCAGUUAGAGAUGGAGGUGGGCAGGUCAUGCCUUUGCUAUCCUACAUAAAAUGUGGAAACAGUUCAGCACAACUACUGAAUGUGAAGCAACAUUUGAGGUCUUGAGGUGGGCAUGAACAACAGAGUCUGAAAAAAGAAGUGUGUAUACGCUAGCUUGGCUAAACCCCUUCAUCUUGGUGAAUUGGUUUGUGAUAGGGCUGGGCGAUAAACCGAAAAUUUAUCAAUACUGAAAUUUACGACAAUAACCAACAUCAUUUUGCCCAUGUCGGUAUAUUCAGUGUCAAUAAUUAGAUAAUGAAAAGUUGGUUUUGGAUGUGUGUAAGGAGGCUAUGGUCUCAUGUCCCUUUAAGACGCUGUCCUACGUUGGUGGACAUGCUCAUGAAACAUUAAACCUUUUAAGUCAGUAUGAUAGAGUGAUGCAAUUUAAUUCUGAUUUAAAAUCUCGUUUGUCAUGGGAGCACAUAGACUGUAUAUAAAAAUGGACGCCAUCUGCCUCCUCGCUGGGUGAAGCCACUCCGAGAACAGCACCCUCUGGUGGUAUAGGUCAGAAGUCCCGCCUCCACCAGUAUAGCUUAUGGAACUGUGGACAAACUUAGGAAAUUUAUUACACAGAACGUAAAUUGUUUUCCCCCUUGCUUCUCAGUAGUAGCCCCAGAAGCCAAUCGAGGAGCAGGCACUUGGAAAGACUCCACCCCAUUCAGUCUGUAACAAAGGGUGGAAGACAGGUGAGGAGAUGGAGAACGCUUCAAAAGUUGUAGGGGCUGGAGUCGUGGCUGAAGUAGACGAAGUUAAUGUGGGAGGGGAUGAGCAGCUUGUGGAGUAGUUAUCGUCCAUUUAUCGUUAUCAAGGUGAACUGCUCAAUAUAUCGUGAUAUUUAUUUGAGGCCGUAUCGCCCAGCCCUAGUUUGUAACCCUGCCACAUUCAGUGGUGCAAAGCAAAGAGAACAAAUUCCAUCAUACAAAAAAAUAACUUUACUUUCAAAGUCAAUGUAACAUUUUGCACAGUUGUACAACUUUUCUGCCAUAAGUUGAUCAUAUUGAAGCAAACAGUCAUUUAUCUCAGUUGAUUGUGUUGUUUUCAUGUGAUAAUGCAAGAAGAAAUACAGAAACUGGAAAAAGGGAUCCAGUUUCAUCUUAUUUUUUUGAAAUGAACAAACAUUUUUAUCUUCUUUUUUUUUACAGCUACAGUAGCUGCAGUUCAUCACUACAGCACUGCCACCUCCUCAAAGUUUCAAGGUACAAACAAA